rnacentral:lncRNA from 1 species
UUUGUUUUGUUUCAAUACAUUGCCUUGGGUCACAAGGAGACAACUCUAUUUUGAAAUUCAAAGGAUUGGUAAGUGUCCCGCUGCUCCUUGUACCACAACGACAUUUUUUUCUUCUAUUUUUUCUUUCUAAUUUUAUUUAUUUAGUUAUUAUUAUUUUUUUAGUUUAAUGUUUUAUUUAUUAUUAUUAUUAUUAUUAUUAUGAUAUAAUUAGGUUUUAGUUUU